rnacentral:rRNA from 1 species
AUUGAACGCUAGCGGGAUGCCUUACACAUGCAAGUCGAACGGAGUGGCGAACGGGUGAGUAAUGUAUCGGAAUGUGCCCAGUCGCGGGGGAUAACUACGCGAAAGCGUAGCUAAUACCGCAUACUAUUGGAGCUGCCGAAUUCGGAUUAGCUAGCUGGUAUGGUAACGGCUCACCAAGGCGACGACCCUUAGCUGGUUUGAGAGGUCGACCAGCCACACUGGGACUGAGACACGGCCCAGACUCCUACGGGAGGCAGCAGUGGGGAAUUUUGGACAAUGGGGGAAACCCUGAUCCAGCCAUCCCGCGUGUGCGAUGAAGGCCUUCGGGUUGUAAAACACUUUUGGCAGGAAAGCGGUACCUGCCGAAUAAGCACCGGCUAACUACGUGCCAGCAGCCGCGGUAAUUC